rnacentral:rRNA from 1 species
AGAAUUUGAUCUCGGUUCAGAUUGAAUGCUGACGGCGUGGAUGAGGCAUGCAAGUCGAACGAAGUCGCAAGACUUAGUGGCGGAAGGGUUAGUAAUACAUAGGUAAUUUGCCUCUUACUUGGGAACAACGGUUGGAAACGACCGCUAAUACCGAAUGUGGUGUUUUGAAGGCAUCUUCGAAAUAUUAAAGUGGGGGACUAUAGCAAUAUAGCCUUGCGGUAAGAGAAAAGCUUAUGGGAUAUCAGCUAGUUGGAGUGGUAAUGGCACACCAAGGCUAAGACGUCUAGGCGGAUUGAGAGAUUGACCGCCAACACUGGGACUGAGAACUGCCCAGACUUCUACGGAAGGCUGCAGUCGAGAAUCAUUCGCAAUGGGCGAAAGCCUGACGAUGCGACGCCGUGUGAGCGAUGAAGGCCCUCGGGUUGUAAAGCUCUUUCAGUUGGGAACAAAAAAGACUAGCGAAUAACUAGUCGAUUUGAGGGUACCAGCAGAAGAAGCACCGGCUAACUCCGUGCCAGCAGCUGCGGUAAUACGGAGGGUGCAAGCAUUAAUCGGAUUUAUUGGGCGUAAAGGGCGCGUAGGCGGGAAUAAAAGUCGGGUUGAAAUCCUGGGGCUCAACCCCAGAACUGCACUUGAAACUCUAUUUCUAGAGGGUUGGCGGAGAAAAUGGAAUUCCACAAGUAGCGGUGAAAUGCGUAGAUAUGUGGAAGAACACCGGUGGCGAAGGCGAUUUUCUAGCUUCCUCCUGACGCUAAUGCGCGAAAGCAAGGGGAGCAAACAGGAUUAGAUACCCUGGUAGUCCUUGCCGUAAACGAUGUAUACUUGGCGUAACUGGAUUCAACCCCAGUUGUGCCGUAGCUAACGCGAUAAGUAUACCGCCUGAGGAGUACAGUCGCAAGGCUGAAACUCAAAAGAAUUGACGGGGACCCGCACAAGCAGUGGAGUAUGUGGUUUAAUUCGAUGCAACGCGAAGAACCUUACCCAGAUUUGACAUGCAGUGGACAGAGCUAGAAAUAGCUUCUCCCGAAAGGGCCGCUGCACAGGUGCUGCAUGGCUGUCGUCAGCUCGUGCCGUGAGGUGUUGGGUUAAGUCCCGCAACGAGCGCAACCCUUAUCACUAGUUGCCAGCACGUAAUGGUGGGAACUCUAGUGAGACUGCCUGGGUUAACCAGGAGGAAGGCGAGGACGACGUCAAGUCCGCAUGGCCCUUAUAUCUGGGGCAACACACGUACUACAAUGGCCGGUACAGAAGGCAGCCAAGCCGCGAGGCGGAGCAAAUCCCAAAAGCCGGCCCCAGUUCAGAUUGUAGUCUGCAAUUCGACUACAUGAAGACGGAGUUGCUAGUAACCGCAGGUCAGCUAUACUGCGGUGAAUACGUUCCCGGGGCUUGUACACACCGCCCGUCACGUCAUGGGAGCUGGCAACACCUGAAGCCGGUAUCCUAACCCGCAAGGGAGGGAGCCGUCGAGGGUG